rnacentral:lncRNA from 1 species
GGUGAACUUGAAAGUUUGUAUUGAGAGGAGGUGCUAUAAGAACAAUGCAGCCAGAAUUGCUGCCAAAUAGAAAACACUGACACUGGAGAUUCACCCAUAUCACAAGAGACCUGGAUUUAGCAAGGAAUAAACUUCUGUUUUAUUAAACAGAGAUACUUCAAAGAAGAGAAAAGAACACUUCAGGGACAAAAGCUACUCAACACUCCAAUACUGGCCUCUAGGAAUGGGCUUCUACCAAUAAAAACUUCAUCAUAGAGAAUCCAAGGGGCAAUAUUCCAGUGUGAUCAGUAACAGGAAGACAGAGAGAGUGACAACAUUCAAGAAGAAAGUCCAACGCUGUCUUCACAGUUACAGGAUGACCAGAGCAUCUGGAACUGCGAAUUGAUUCAAACUAAGAUGAUAUCAUUGAAGAUCAAGAGACUGUUGCUUAAUAGAGUCACAAAAAGAGGAAAUUAAACAAUUAGGAUUAAUAUGUGCGUACUCAAUCUCUAC